AAAAGGUUAUGAUAUAUCUCAGUGGCAAAUGCGCUUUUCAAAGCGUGAUAUCACCUAAUGCCCUUUGAGUCUGAAUGAGAUAAGUCUGUUCAACUUCACAGAGACUUAACCCCAUAUCUAUUCAAACAUUUCCAAAUGGUUCUCUCUCUCUCUCUCUCUAAAAUUGUUCUCUUUCACUAGCCCUAAUGAGCCGUGGAUGUCACCAGCAAUGAACUUCUUGGAGUUUGUAGAUCUACAAAGAGAUUGAUGUUUCUAAUCUCAACAGUUUCUUGUCCAAUCUGGAUCUUGAUUUCGAUUUGUGCACUAGGUCUUAGGAUUUGAUAUUUUCCUUUGAUUCCUUUCGAUUUUUCGAUGUCUUUAUCAAUCUGGGUCUUUGUUUUUCAUGGAUUCAGGUAUCCAAUUGCUCUUGAUUUGGAGUUGCUGAGUUCACUUGAGAUACAUAGCUUUCAUGGUAGCAAUCUUGUAUUCGAUUUACUAGUUUUCAUAGAUGCUCAAAUUUAUUAUUGAAAAUUAUUUUAUUUACAUUUGAUUAGGGUUUUGAUUUUCAUUCUGGGGCUUGUUCUUCAUCGAGUCUGAUCUAGACUUGCUGUGAGUUCACUCAAGAUUAAGAUAUUUUCAUCACUACACAGUAACGAUCUGGAUCUGUGUUCUAUUUAUACAUAAACUCUUGCUUAGGUUUUGAUUUUCGUCAGCGAUCUAGGUUCUCAUCUCUUCCAUAAAUGAUGGCUCGAGCUUGGUUUGGAUGAUUCGGAUAUGAUCUAGGGUUAUGUUUCUCUCAAGUAUGGUUGUUUUAUAUUUUUUAGUUGCAUAAUCGUUCUAUGUUUUUCUCUAUUUCUGCUCUUUAUUCGAUGAUCUCACUACAUAUGUGUGUUUAUAUAGUUUUAUAUGUUUAUCUAAGACAUCUUUGAAGAACAUUAACCAUCACUGGUUUUGUUGUGUUUUCUGAAACAAGGAUUAGUGCUUAGAUUGACAACUGGUUUUUGGUCAUAUAGCACUAAAAUCUUCUGAUUUGGGUAUCUGUUCUUGAAUUCUUUGUGUUAUCUCAAUGAAUUUACUCCUUUAUAACCAAGGGGAGGUGAUUGAGACAAGAAGUUUCAGGGAGAGAAACAAUUUUAAGGUUUUUUCUCUCUCUAAAAUAUAUAUCCAUGAAUGUGUCUCUGGUUUUUGAUGGAGAUUGAAUGAUUACAUUACAUGUUUUUGCUAUUUUUGGUUCCAGACAAUUCACAAUGCGACUUGUUUCCGCAAAUUGUGUCUUGUGUAUGCUAUUUCUUCGAUAAAUUGGGGGAAUUGAGCCCUAAUCGGUUUUUAUAUUGCUAUGACAGGAGAUUUAAUCGCAUUUUGCGUUAGAGAUUUCUCAGACAUGGUCACACAUUACAUUCAGUUUCAAUAUUAUGAUUAUCACUUGAUCACUUGAUCACUGUACACUUCACUUUUCUUAUUCUGUGUGAUGUUGGUAUGUGCCGGACUAAUAAUUUAUCUGUUGAGUUGAUGUUUGGGUUUGAAAAUGUUUCUUGGUGCCAUAAGAAUGAUGGGAUUUUUUUCCCUUAAUUAUUAUUAUUUUUUGGUAAUCCUGACCAAUUGGAAUGCUUAUUUUGGUUUUCUAUGAGGUCAUGGUUUGGUUCUAUUGAUAGUUUCAGGUACUUGACUUUUCUAUUUAUGGAAUUUAGCUAAGUGAAUCCAAUACAUAUGUACGAAUGUCUCGAGACAGAAUAUGGAAUUAGCCAGGAAGACUUGAUUCUCUAUGGACAGUCAGUCAGAAGUGGACCGACACUGUACUUAGCAACUAAGCUGCCAAGCUUUUUUUCUCUUUCUUUUUAUAUCUUUUUCCUUUCCUUAUCUUUUCUCUCCACAAAUCCUAGAUUCAAACACAACCAAUACAGUUGCUCAACAAUUGAAACUGAUAUAGUUUGAUUAAAUGGUUUCUUGAAAUUUUUCGUAUGAGCUGUCAUGGAUGGUUAUUUUUUUUUAAUUUUUUUUCUCUUACCUUUAAUGGAUUCAAUUGUGAUGUGCAUUGGAGCCCAUUGCUCCCCUAAACUAAACUCUUCCCUUACAGUUUUUAAGUUCCUAUGGUUAAGUUUCUCUUUUCCAUUUGAUAUGAAUCAGUAGAAAGUGGAAUCAACAAAGCAGAUAGUUUCCUCCUCAAAGCAUAUAGUUCUAUGUAUUGAUUCCAAAUUUUUAAAUAUUUUACUUGUAGAGGCCUAGAAGAAUUUUCAAUUAAAUGCAACGGAUGUGGUUGAACGUAUGAAUUUGAAUGGAAUAAUAAUAACCCAUUUCAAUGCUUUUUCUUUUUCUUUUCCUUUUUUAACUAUUAAAACUUUUGGUGGUGAAAGUAAGAAGGCAUUAGACAAUUACUAAAACUUAUGAAAUUUCAAUUUUGUAGGAUGCUUCUGGAUUUUUCGGUCAUUUGGCUUUGGAGACAAGUUAGAUUGGUUUAGAUUCCAUAAUUGACAACAGAGUGCUCUAUUUUCUGGAGGAUAUUAUCUUUUGUUUCUCCAUCUCAUGUUCUGAUUCUGCUCAUAUAUGGAUAAAGCAUUGACCACAAGAGUCAUUCUUAUAUGAAUGCUAAAAAUUAAUUCUCAAUGUGUAGAUUGUUGAUGUGCUUCAUUUUUAUGUACAAGAUGGUGACAUGAAGAAGCUUGAUAAGACGGGGACGAGGUGCUCAUACAAAAACUAUGAUGUUUUACAAGCAAAGAAUGACUUCAACUUUGAGGACAGGGAUUGGAUGACUGUCCAUCCGAAAGAAUUUCCAACAGGGUCACAAUUGAACAUCUAAUAUUCUGUGUGAUAGUGGGAGUAUAUGGAGCACAUUGGCUUUGUACUUGUUUAGUUUGCAUGCCCCUCUGAGUUUUGGAGGGUUGUCUAUGGUUGCCCAUGUUUGCAUAUAUUUAGUUUCAAAAAGGCCACAUAUGGACUUAAUAAGAAAGAAAGUCCAUCUAUGAAUUUCCAAAUGAUUUGUGAAUUAGAAUUGGUUGAAACCAUCAUUGUGGGAUGGGAUUCUUCAUGCUAAUGUCUGAAGUAUAUGUAUGAGUAUGAUUACUAAUGGCUGCAUUGUAGGAACCAUGCAAACAACAGUUGGAGUUGCAUUUGGUAUGUGUCUGAAUUUUUUUUUUCUACAAUAAGUACAUACUAGAUUUAUUUCUUACUCUCAAUUAUCUUAGUGCCUUUUGAAUUUUAUUUAUUUAUUUAUUUUUGGUUUUUUCAUGAUGGCUGCUAGUGCUCUUUCUGUCAUUAUCACGUUUGUUCCAUAACAUUGCCCUCAUUAGUUUGUUACUGUUAAUUACUUAUAAUUACUUUUGAGUAAUUUGUUAAUGUGUACCAUUCCUGUUGAUAAUGUCUAAUAAUGUUUUUAUUGUAUCCAAACAACUUGUCCAAUUCUCAUAGAUGUCUUAUUUUGUUUUAAGUGCAUGCAUUUGGAGUACCACCUUAGCAGCCAUGGCAAAAAGUGAACUUAAUGCCAUGAAGUAGUAGUGUGUCAUGAUAUGCUCACGUCUGUAAAUAUUUUUAAUUUUUUGUUAUGUCAUAAAUUUCCAUUGGUCAAAUUUGUAUUUUUCUAAAAAUAUUUAUGGCUUAAUUGGUUCCAAUUUAUUUUGAAUGUUAAAGGUGAUCAAAUGUUUUAGUUAUUGUAAAUUGUGUAAUUUGAAUUUUGCUUUUAUUAGAUUUUUUUUAAUUUUUUUUUUGGAGGAAGGAAUUCAUAUAUUGAUUAGAUUUUGUUGUUUUGUUGUAAAUUUAUUUGGAAAAAAUUCUGGUUAGGUUCAGAUAUUUUUUUUUUAUUUUGGAAAAAAAAGCUUUUAGAAACGUUUUAAUAAAAAUACCACUAUAAGUUAGUAUGAUGUCAUUUGUGGGUAGGGCAACUUUUAUGAUGGCGUUUUAAAAAAUGCCGCAAAAGAUCUUGUACAGCGUUUAUAAAACGUCGCUAAGUUAUAGCGACGGCCGUGUCCUUGAUGUAAUUUUAAAACACCAAUAUAUGUUUUGCCGACAUUUUUGAUAGUUUUAGCGACGUUUUUGAAAUAUUAGUAAAAGCCAAUUUUCCUGCGUGCUACCACUACCUCAUUAACAAUGCAUAUACUGCAUGAUUUUAUAAAUCGACCCAUACGUAUCGAAUUUUUCCUGCAGUGCUACCACUGCCUCAUUGGUUUAAAAAUCAUUGGUUUACAUUCAAAGUGCCUAGGAGACAGGUGAGUAAGCUUAUUGUCUAAAUGAAGGGAGACAUAAUCUUCAACUCUUGAAUUGGGCACCAUAUCCCAUAAAAUUAGUAGAAACUCUGUCAAAACAAAAUCAAUAAAAAUAAAAAUAAAAUUUGUUAAAAAAAAAAAA